rnacentral:rRNA from 1 species
UGCAAGUCGAACGGCAGCACGGGUGCUUGCACCUGGUGGCGAGUGGCGAACGGGUGAGUAAUACAUCGGAACAUGUCCUGUAGUGGGGGAUAGCCCGGCGAAAGCCGGAUUAAUACCGCAUACGAUCCACGGAUGAAAGCGGGGGACCUUCGGGCCUCGCGCUAUAGGGUUGGCCGAUGGCUGAUUAGCUAGUUGGUGGGGUAAAGGCCUACCAAGGCGACGAUCAGUAGCUGGUCUGAGAGGACGACCAGCCACACUGGGACUGAGACACGGCCCAGACUCCUACGGGAGGCAGCAGUGGGGAAUUUUGGACAAUGGGCGAAAGCCUGAUCCAGCAAUGCCGCGUGUGUGAAGAAGGCCUUCGGGUUGUAAAGCACUUUUGUCCGGAAAGAAAUCCUUGGCUCUAAUACGGUCGGGGGAUGACGGUACCGGAAGAAUAAGCACCGGCUAACUACGUGCCAGCAGCCGCGGUAAUACGUAGGGUGCAAGCGUUAAUCGGAAUUACUGGGCGUAAAGCGUGCGCAGGCGGUUUGCUAAGACCGAUGUGAAAUCCCCGGGCUCAACCUGGGAACUGCAUUGGUGACUGGCAGGCUAGAGUAUGGCAGAGGGGGGUAGAAUUCCACGUGUAGCAGUGAAAUGCGUAGAGAUGUGGAGGAAUACCGAUGGCGAA